CGGACCCUGGAAUCAUGACCUGAGCUGAAGGCAGACAUUUAACUGAGCCACCCAUGCGCCCCUCUACCUUGAAUUUAUUUCUUGAAGAAACCAAGCUAUUGGUCCUAUAGAGUUUCCUACAACAGCUACUAUUUAUUGCGUGCUUACUCUGUUCUGAGGUUUGCUGGUAUACCCACUUCAUUCUCACACCAACAGUGAGAUGUAAUAGUCCUUUGCCUUAAUUUAGGCAUAAGGAAACCAAAAUUUGAGGAGAUUUAGGUAACUAACCUGAGUUACAAAACUAAUCAGUGGAAGUGGCAGGUUUCAGAUCUAGAAACCUGGUUUUUAAACACUACACUGUUUCCCUGAAGAUCCUACCAAUAGAAGCACUCUGAGCUGGAAGAUAGAAGGUUGGCAUUGAGCACCUUUCCAGGCUUAUCCCUAAACCCCUGCUUGCACAGGAUACCUUCCUGGAAUGCCCUUUGUUCCUCAUUCAACCUCUCCAAGACCUUCCUGGCCUUCACACCACCUUCAAGCUUCACACCACUAAACCUUUCUUGACCACACCAGGCGCAGAGGUCUGUCCUGUACACACCGCCCUAGUCAUUUGGUGUUUAGUUGCAUGCUAUCUUGGGAGAUUUCUUGGUUUUUUGUUAUUGCUGCUACUGUUGUUUCUGAGCUCACUUUACAGGUGUGGGAAUGCAGAGUCCGCCGUCAGGCCCCAACUGGGGCUCUGUAACUGCUCUGUGCAGUUAGGGAAUACUACCACUCGGCCCUUGGCACUGCAUCAGUUGUGCUGUUAGACUUAAGCUACAAUCAUGCUUAUCUGUGUAUUUCAGCGGAGAAUCAGGGAUUUUCCCUUUUAAUUAAUUUCUGAUUGUUUUCAAAUUAAUCUAAUAUAAAAAGCCCAGUUAUACUGCAAGGCUUUUAAUGGAAAAAAAAAA